AGGAGUGAAAGGCUAAUCAAACCGGGAGAUAGCUGGUUCUCCCCGAAAUCUAUUUAGGUAGAGCCUCGGACGAAUACUUACGGGGGUAGAGCACUGUUAAGGCUAGGGGGUCAUCCCGACUUACCAACCCUUUGCAAACUCCGAAUACCGUAAAGUAAUAUCCGGGAGACACACGGCGGGUGCUAACGUCCGUCGUGAAGAGGGAAACAACCCAGACCGCCAGCUAAGGUCCCAAAGUCAUAGUUAAGUGGGAAACGAUGUGGAAAGGCCCAGACAGCCAGGAGGUUGGCUUAGAAGCAGCCAUCCUUUAAAGAAAGCGUAAUAGCUCACUGGUCGAGUCGGUCUGCGCGGAAGAUGUAACGGGGCUAAACUAUGCACCGAAGCUGCGGAUUCAGAAUUUAUUCUGAGUGGUAGGGGAGCGUUCUGUAAGCGGUUGAAGGUGUACCGGGAGGUAUGCUGGACGUAUCAGAAGUGCGAAUGCUGACAUGAGUAACGAUAAUGGGAGUGAAAAACUCCCACGCCGGAAGACCAAGGGUUCCUAUCCCAUGUUAAUCAGGGUAGGGUAAGUCGACCCCUAAGGCGAGGCCGAAAGGCGUAGUCGAUGGGAAACAGAUUAAUAUUUCUGUACUCGAUAUAAUUGCGAUGGGGGGACGGAGCAGGCUAAGCAAGCAUGGCGUUGGUAGUCCAUGUGAAAGUGAGUAGGGCGUUUGUUUAGGUAAAUCCGGACGAACAYUAAACCUGAGACACGAGACGAGYYACUACGGURRUGAAGUUGCUGAUGCCAUACUUCCAGGAAAAGCCUCUAAGCUUCAGAUUAUAUGGAAUCGUACCCCAAACCGACACAGGUGGUCAGGUAGAGAAUACUAAGGCGCUUGAGAGAACUCGGGUGAAGGAACUAGGCAAAAUCGUACCGUAACUUCGGGAGAAGGUACGCUCCUAUCUGUGAUGAGACUUGCUCUCUAAGCGGACGGGAGCCGCAGUGACCAGGUGGCUGGGACUGUUUAUUAAAAACACAGCACUGUGCAAAAUCGCAAGAUGACGUAUACGGUGUGACACCUGCCCGGUGCCGGAAGGUUAAUUGAUGGGGUUAUCUUCGGAGAAGCUCUUGAUCGAAGCCCCGGUAAACGGCGGCCGUAACUAUAACGGUCCUAAGGUAGCGAAAUUCCUUGUCGGGUAAGUUCCGACCUGCACGAAUGGUGUAACCAUGGCCACGCUGUCUCCACCCGAGACUCAGUGAAAUUGAAAUCGCAGUGAAGAUGCUGUGUACCCGCGGCUAGACGGAAAGACCCCGUGAACCUUUACUACAGCUUGGCACUGAACAUUGAACCUACAUGUGUAGGAUAGGUGGGAGACUUWGAAGCAGCGACGCUAGUUGUUGUGGAGUCGUCCUUGAAAUACCACCCUUGUAGUUUUGAUGUUCUAACGUUGGCCCCUGAAUCGGGGUUACGGACAGUGCCUGGUGGGUAGUUUGACUGGGGCGGUCUCCUCCCAAAGAGUAACGGAGGAGCACGAAGGUUGGCUAAGUACGGUCGGACAUCGUACGGUUAGUGUAAUGGUAGAAGCCAGCUUAACUGCGAGACAGACACGUCGAGCAGGUACGAAAGUAGGUCAUAGUGAUCCGGUGGUUCUGAAUGGAAGGGCCAUCGCUCAACGGAUAAAAGGUACUCCGGGGAUAACAGGCUGAUACCGCCCAAGAGUUCAUAUCGACGGCGGUGUUUGGCACCUCGAUGUCGGCUCAUCACAUCCUGGGGCUGAAGUCGGUCCCAAGGGUAUGGCUGUUCGCCAUUUAAAGUGGUACGCGAGCUGGGUUUAGAACGUCGUGAGACAGUUCGGUCCCUAUCUGCCGUGGGCGUUUGAGAAUUGAGAGGGGUUGCUCCUAGUACGAGAGGACCGGAGUGAACGAACCGCUGGUGUUCGGGUUGUCAUGCCAAUGGCAUUGCCCGGUAGCUACGUUCGGAACUGAUAAGCGCUGAAAGCAUCUAAGCGCGAAGCAGGCCUCGAGAUGAGUUCUCACUAGAGCUAUAAGCUCUCUGAAGGGCCGUUGGAGACUACAACGUUGAUAGGCAAGGUGUGGAAGCAUAGUGAUAUGUUAAGCUAACUUGUACUAAUUACCCGUGAGGCUUAACCAUACAACGCCAAACGCGUUU
rnacentral:rRNA from 1 species